rnacentral:rRNA from 1 species
GAUGAACGCUGGCGGCGUGCUUAACACAUGCAAGUCGAACGGAAAGGCUCCUGCUUGCAGGGGUACUCGAGUGGCGAACGGGUGAGUAACACGUGGGUGAUCUGCCCUGCACUUCGGGAUAAGCCUGGGAAACUGGGUCUAAUACCGGAUAGGACGAUGGUUUGGAUGCCAUUGUGGAAAGUUUUUCGGUGUGGGAUGAGCUCGCGGCCUAUCAGCUUGUUGGUGGGGUAAUGGCCUACCAAGGCGUCGACGGGUAGCCGGCCUGAGAGGGUGUACGGCCACAUUGGGACUGAGAUACGGCCCAGACUCCUACGGGAGGCAGCAGUGGAGAAUAUUGCACAAUGGGCGCAAGCCUGAUGCAGCGACGCCGCGUGGGGGAUGACGGCCUUCGGGUUGUAAACUCCUUUCGUCAGGGACGAAGCGAAAGUGACGGUACCUGGAUAAGAAGCACCGGCUAACUACGUG